UGGAGCGCGAGCUUCCUGUUGCAUAAUGACGUAUUGGCGGGCGCAAACUCACGUGAGCUGAGGCUGUGUUUGUUUACAACAGAGAAGGAGGAUGCCUGUGUUGAAUUGCUCAGCAAAGUGUUACUUGUGUUUAUGCUGGAUGCCGCAACCUAUAUAAAAUUAAGAUUACGUUCGCUUGCGCAUCGGGAAUAUUGACUGUUCAGUUUGCUCCUGCUUAUAUGUCAUUAUGUGACAGGAGGAAGCUUGCAGACUGAACAUCAGGACGGUUUGCCUAGGCUGCGGAUUAGAGGUUAUAAUAACAGACCUCGCCUCGCUUCAUAAGACCUCAGUGUAUCGUCAGGAGCCACAGGUAUUAAUUUUUGUUUUGCCUGUAAUUUCCUUUUUUUUUUUUUUUUUUUGUCUGUCAAAGUGACGGUAGCCAUCGACUUGCAUUAUGAAUAACCAAGGACAACGGUUUAAUCUAAAAAUAUUUACUGUUCUACUGAAGAAAAAAGGCCUACAUCUUGGAUGACAUGAGGACACCAGCAGUGGCCUGUUGCACAAAGCUGGUUUCAGUUUCAACCCAGAGGCGGGGACGUUCUCUCCUGAGAGGAAUAGGAGAUGGAGAGUGUUGACAGCCGUGCAGGCCGGAGGGUGGAAGGGUUGACAGUCGCGUGCGUGCCUGACCAGACUGCUGGUCGUUGACUCUCUCUUAGACCAGACUCUGGGGGAGAGGAGCGAGAACCAGGCCAGGAGGAGGCAGGCUGUCAGAGCUGGAUCAGUAGGCUGGUCGGCCACGUCAAAGCUGGUUUAUCCCAUAAACCUCCACUGGGGGAAAGGCAUUGUUCCCCCGUGCUGUAGAGAAUCUCACCGCUGAACUCUAGAGCAUUUAGAUGCAGACAUAAACACACGCUGUAAACCACACACAUGAACCGCAGACAAAUGCAAACAAUCUGUGCAUCCAGCUCCCCUUUUGGCAGAUGUAAUGUAUAUAAAUCCUGAUUGCUUCACACAAACAAGCACUCAAAGACAAACUAAGAUUUGUAUACUCUGGAAAUAUGUAUAUUUUCAAAAAUGGUGGUAAUCAAAUGAAGCAUCAAAAUAUUCAAUAUAAUCAAUCUUUUAAAAUCAAACCAAGUGAAAUUUGAGAAAUUUUAUUUUAUUUUUUGGCAAAUGAAGUAUUGCAGAGGUUUACUGUUUAAAUUAAAACUUGGACAAAAUUGUGUUAUUGUGUGGUAUUUCUUAAAAAAUAUAUAUAUAUCAGUACAUUAUACUGUAUAACAGUAAUAUAUUUCUGUCAUAGUUUCAUCAAGUUAAACCAAACUUUUAUUUUGGUGGUUUGUAGUAAAGACCUUUAAGUUUCUUUGUGUAUAUGACAAUAGUUUUAUCAUGAAAUGAUGAAACGCCUGUAAAGUGGACUCUUAAAACAGCUCUGGAGAUGUUGAUGUGGAGUCAGUGUCCUUAUAUAGUGAGACAGAAGACACUGAAAACACCACAAGCGUCACACAUGUGCUAUGAGAUGUAACUAAAGUGAAUCCCAAUUACUAAGAGAUAAGAAUUAUGCCCCACUUUCCCAACAGUAAGUUACCACGUUUUUGUUCUGUCAAAAUAAAUUAGGUUCUUUUAAGAAUAUGGGGUUGUUUUGAGGGGAAUGUUUCUGUUAAAUCAUGUAUUAACACGUGGCAGACAUAUUCUUCAUCACAUUGGAAGGAAACAGCAUUGAGGCCUUUGCAAAAAAGAGCAAUUACAGCUAUUAAGAAAGCAAAGCAUGCCAAUGUGCCAUAAUUCAACUUCCACUUCUGCAUUUUUCAAGAACAUAAAUCUUAAGCUCAAAUGAAAAACAUCUCAUUUCCGCUGUGCGCCAAAGACUCUUGAGAGACAACUCCUUAAUCAAAAUAUUGCUCUUCCUUUCUUCUUUCAUUUUUUUCUUUUACCCAUCUCUUCCUUUGAGCAUCUCUUAAUGAUAACAAUGUUGGUCUCCACCUAUCUUUCAAUUCAACCUCUGAUCAUUUGAUAUUGAUAUCACAGAAAAUGAGGACACUGCAUCAAUCUUUUUUUUUUUGCUUUCUUUUUUUUUUUUUUUUGCUUGAUGUUGUGAUGUUGUACUUAUAUGUAAAAAGAGCAGGCUGUGUUGGACACAAAGGUGUCCACUUAUACAAACGAGUGCGGGAUUUGACAUUUGGGUCUAUUCCUCAUACGUAUGGAUUCUAAAGAUGUGGAUUACAGCACAUGAAUAAAAUUGAUAACUUUUGUGAAUUUAUGUUGCAUUUUUUGGCAUAUUUUAUGGUUCUAUUGUCAGUCACAGCAUAGCACUGAGAAGAUUUGUAUGUCUACAAG